rnacentral:rRNA from 1 species
CUCCUACGGGAGGCAGCAGUAAGGAAUAUUGGGCAAUGGACGCAAGUCUGACCCAGCCAUGCCGCGUGGAGGAUGAAGGUCCUCUGGAUUGUAAACUUCUUUUAUUUGGGAAGAAACUCCCGAUUUCCAUCGGGAUUGACGGUACCAGAUGAAUAAGCACCGGCUAACUCCGUGCCAGCAGCCGCGGUAAUACGGAGGGUGCAAGCGUUAUCCGGAUUCACUGGGUUUAAAGGGUGCGUAGGCGGGCAGGUAAGUCAGUGGUGAAAUCUCCGGGCUUAACCCGGAAACUGCCAUUGAUACUAUCUGUCUUGAAUACCCUGGAGGUGAGCGGAAUAUGUCAUGUAGCGGUGAAAUGCUUAGAUAUGACAUAGAACACCCAUUGCGAAGGCAGCUCACUACGGGAAUAUUGACGCUGAGGCACGAAAGCGUGGGGAUCAAACAGGAUUAGAUACCCUGGUAGUCCACGCCCUAAACGAUGAUCACUCGACAUCAGCGAUACACAGUUGGUGUCUGAGCGAAAGCAUUAAG